rnacentral:lncRNA from 1 species
AUGUUCUUCACCUUCUUCCGGUCACGCUCCGGCUCUUUUAGCGCUCUGAUGGCUAACGCGGCGGCGGACGGCACAACGGAGACCUUCGCAUGAUGGUUUUGCACGGUGAGUUUAACGGUGACUCGGAGACAGAUCUUGAAGGUUUGUUAUGAUCUUGAAGAUUGACGAUGUCAUCUCGCCAUCGGAAUAUUGAUGUCUGUGGUUUCUACCUUCAAGUUUUGCAACUGAUUUAUUGUUGAUGAACCUAGUCUGUUUCGUACUAGUGGCAUUAGAGAACAAUGAGAAUCACACGUCUACACUUGCUUUAUUGGUGUUGCAUCAGAUGGUUGAAGGAAGACUAUGA